rnacentral:rRNA from 1 species
AUACGUAGGUGACAAGCGUUAUCCGGAUUUACUGGGCGUAAAGGGCGUGUAGGCGGUCUUGCAAGUCAGAAGUGAAAUUCCUGAGCUCAACUCGGGCGCUGCUUCUGAAACUGCAGGACUUGAGUGCUGGAGGGGAUAGCGGAAUUCCUAGUGGAGCGGUAAAAUGCGCAGAUAUUAGGAAGAACACCGGUGGCGAAGGCGGCUAUCUGGACAGUAACUGACACUGAGGUACGAAAGUGUGGGGAGCAAACAGGAUUAGAUACCCUGGUAGUCCACACCGUAAACGAUGAGAACUAGGUGUCGGGCUCGCAAGAGUUCGGUGCCGCAGUUAACGCAUUAAGUUCUCCGCCUGGGGAGUACGUACGCAAGUAUGAAACUCAAAGGAAUUGACGGGG